rnacentral:sRNA from 1 species
AUGUACGGCCAGUACACGCCGGUUCCUGCGCGCCACCCGCACCCGCCUGGCGACCGCUCGCUACGUUUUGUUGGCG